CUGGCUCUGAAUCAAGAUGAGCAGUUUGCUGAAGCGGUUGAUUUCAAGCUGAGGCCUAAGGAAUGUCUUGGAAUUUCCACUGCAGAAAUUCUAGAACAUAACGCUUGAUUCACUGGAGAGAAGCAUCU
ensembl:snoRNA predicted gene, 24406